UCAUGAUAACUUCUCGAAUCGCACGGCCUUGCGCCGGCGAUGGUUCAUUCAAAUUUCUUCCCUAUCAACUUUCGAUGUUUGGGUAUUGGCCAAACAUGGUUGCAACGGGUAACGGAGGGUUAGGGCUCGACCCCGGAGAAGGAGCCUGAGAAACGGCUACUACAUCCAAGGAAGGCAGCAGGCGCGCAAAUUACCCAAUCCCGACACGGGGAGGUAGUGACAAUAAAUACUGAUACAGGGCUCUUUUGGGUCUUGUAAUUGGAAUGAGUACAAUUUAAAUCCCUUAACGAGGAACAAUUGGAGGGCAAGUCUGGUGCCAGCAGCCGCGGUAAUUCCAGCUCCAAUAGCGUAUAUUAAAGUUGUUGUGGUUAAAAAGCUCGUAGUUGAACCUUGGGCCUGGCUGGCCGGUCCGCCUCACCGCGUGUACUGGUCCGGCCGGGCCUUUCCCUCUGUGAACCCUCAUUCCCACUCACGGU
rnacentral:rRNA from 1 species